CUGGUCCAAUGCGAGCCGAGCACAGCUGCGCGCCCGCCUAGCGUUCCGAGCCCGGAGUGAGAAGCGCUUCGGAGACUGGAGGGACGGACCUGCAGGAGCCGGGGCUGCCCGCCGAGCUGCAGUUGCCGCCGCCGCCGCUGUCAGCGCCCGUCUCAAGAGUGACAGCGCCGCACAAGCAGGAGUGAGCACCGAAGCCCGCGCCUUUACCAAACAGGUGCACGCGCCGAUCGCCUGGUGAGUGGACCCAGCUCGCAAGAUCUCAGGUAACCAUUCAUGAGCCUGAGGCUGUGAGAAAUGCUUGCUGUGCAAAGGGGAACUCUCACCAGAUUUUCUGAAGCUGUUCUAGAAAUACACUUUUCAGAUUGAUUCAGCAUAACCAGCUUAUCCAACAAAAGUAUUAUCAUAUACAUUAACAACGUCGAAAGUAGCCUAUUUUAAGAGAAAAUAUGCAGAAGAAGAAGAUUUACAUCAAGAUUACCAUGGGUAUUUUCCAAAACACCUGAUAUUACCUGAGGACAGGACUUGCAUUCUCAAACUUUCUCUGGAGAAGCUCAGGUUUCUUGAAGACCCAGAAACCUACUUAAGAAGGUCUGUGUUAAUUAACAAUUUGCUGAGGAAGAUACAUCUAGAGACGGAGAAAGAGAGCUAUGAUUACUUUAAAGAAGCUCCCUCUUAUAAGACUGCUUAUUCUGAUACAAGAAAACGGCUGAAGUUUAUGGUACAGGAAUGCUGUUCUCAGUCUCUCUAUUAUGAAGAGCUGCAUUCGUAUCAUAUUGUGCCUUAUGCUUCGGAGAAUGCCAUUUAUGGAAUGGGCUACACUAGCAGCCACUUGGAGCAAAAUUCUCAGUUGCUUAUUUAUAAAAUGAAUUAAAGUAACUGUUAAAUCCAUUGAUACUUUGUUUCUAAA